GGGCCCAUGGCUUAGCCUGGAUAGAGCGGCCGGCUUCGGACCGGCAGGUCGGGGGUUCGAAUCCUCCUGGGCUCACCA
rnacentral:tRNA from 1 species